rnacentral:misc_RNA from 1 species
UUUUUUUUUUUGUUUUUUUUUUCUACUACACAAGGAUUCAUAGAUUUGCCUGAGGCAUGCCACUGCUUAUGUACUACAACUCCAUUUCAGGUGCAUUUAUUUAGGCCUUUAAUGUAAUUUUGUGUUUCCUUAUCCAUAAAUACUUCUGAGCAAGGCUCAAAUUUGUUUCUCAUUGUCUUUUGUAUCAAAUUCUUUGCACCUUAAUGUAAGAAUAUAUCAUGAUGUAGAUCAUUGUUUUUGCUGCAUCUUUUCACAGGGGCCAUGGCAUUUGAUGUGG